AUUGAACGCUGGCGGCAUGCCUUACACAUGCAAGUCGAACGGUAACAGGUUAAGCUGACGAGUGGCGAACGGGUGAGUAAUGUAUCGGAACGUGCCCAGUCGUGGGGGAUAACUGCUCGAAAGAGCAGCUAAUACCGCAUACGACCUGAGGGUGAAAGCGGGGGAUCGCAAGACCUCGCGCGAUUGGAGCGGGCGAUAUCAGAUUAGGUAGUUGGUGGGGUAAAGGCUCACCAAGCCGACGAUCUGUAGCUGGUCUGAGAGGACGACCAGCCACACUGGGACUGAGACACGGCCCAGACUCCUACGGGAGGCAGCAGUGGGGAAUUUUGGACAAUGGGCGCAAGCCUGAUCCAGCCAUGCCGCGUGCGGGAAGAAGGCCUUCGGGUUGUAAACCGCUUUUGUCAGGGAAGAAAAGGUUCUGGCUAAUACCUGGGACUCAUGACGGUACCUGAAGAAUAAGCACCGGCUAACUACGUGCCAGCAGCCGCCGCAGUAA
rnacentral:rRNA from 1 species